CUAGGUUGGCAGGAGCAGGGACUGAGCAACGGGAGCUCACCCGUCUCGGGGAUUCAAACCACCAACCUUCUGAUCGGCAAGUCCUAGGCUCUGUGGUUUAACCCACAGCGCCACCCGCAUCCCUUCGGUUUAUGUUAGCCAGAUUUAAUAUGUUUCCCUCAAUGAUAGUAAGAGGAAGAUAUUUAGCUCUCCCAGAAGCAGAGCGUCUCUGCAAAUGUAGUAAAUGGGAACCUGAUACUUUGGAGCAUAUUUUCUUUUCUUGUGAUUUUGGCAUUUAUGCCAGAAGACAAUUAUUAGAGGCCUUACAACUUAACAGGCUCAAUUCUAUGCCACCAACGGUUCAGGACCUGCUCUCGGACAGGAAUGAUCAAAUUACUUUAAUAGUGGCUGAAUUUUUGAGUGCUGUCCAUGCAGAAAGACUGGGCCAUUAUAAAGAGAUUUAGUGGUUCUUAAUUGAUUGGUGAUGUGGUAGUGUUAUAUUGUAUUAUUUAGGCAAAUUGAUUUUCUCUGGAGUUAAAGAUCUGACUGGGACAAACCUUGUUAUGCUGAAUUCGUAUUUUGCACAAUUUGUAUACGAUGUUUGUUUGAUAAUGUGUGGUUUGCUAUGCCCAAUAAAGGAUUGAGUUUUU